GGUUGUGGCUCAGAGGUAGAGCACCUACCUAGCAUGUGUAAGGUACUGGGUUCGAUCCUCAGCACCA
rnacentral:tRNA from 1 species